AAUUUACCACCCUUGGUCUAUAUUACAAGCCAUACGGCACUAAGUUAGUUCGUAUAUCAUCACAAUAAAAAAAACGCGUUGUCAAUGGAAAAGUAGGCAAAUUUUAUAUGGUAAGAGUGAUGAAAAGUGACAAGAAAAAUGACAACAUAUUCUCCAAUGAUUGACCAGAUGUCUCCUGUCGCCGCCCUGUAAUCGGGCACUUCUCUCCCGUUUCCUAUUCCCUCUUUUAUACAACCGCACCAUUGUCCACGCACUAUUACCUACCCUUAGAAAUUACCAUGAAAAUGGCUACCAGUGUUUACAUUUUGGUCCAAGAAAUCUAACCUCUUUGAAACUCGUGAAUAGGGUCCGGCGCGAAGUUGGAGUUUACCACAAAGCUUCGAUACCGAGACUGCGACUUAAAGAGCUACUGAACUGCCCGCAGGCACUACCAAACUCUGCUUCCACUGCAAGGAAACAGAAUAAACAUACCCACAGACGGGUAUGCCGUGAUUGACAUGUAAUGCCGAGCCAAGCGAGUAAACAAUGCUUUUAAGGAAGCACAUAAGCUGGACCGUGGUAGAAAAUAAGGCAGAUUGGGCGAGUUUUGAGUGCCUGGCGCAUUGUCGUCGGAACCAGGGUGACUCGGCCAUCGACGACACAAGCUCGGAAAAGUGCAGUGGACAGCUUUCGACCGAUUAUAGAAGUCAACGAGGUCCUUUAUUUAGGGGAGGUUUUCGUUGGAGAUAAGAUUGUCGAGCGGAAGACGAGAAAAAAGAAGUAGGAGAAGAAAAGAGGCCACAGGCAUCGACGGAGACUGAAACGGACACGAGAUCACCAGAGUUCAGAGAAGGUCGAGCGCGUCAACCACUAGAAUGUUAGUUGGAUGGCCAAUUAAUUAUUCAUCCGUGUCUUUUGACUGCGGUAUGUCAUACAUUACAGAUACCGACAUGGAGAGACUGACAGUGGCCCCUCUAUCAGACUUUCGGAUCUCUGUAUAGCCCAAAGGGACGUCACUAACACUGCAGAACGGUGACAUACAGAAUAUGUUCUUUAUUCUUAAUUUAGUCAGCAGAUUCUUUGGUAUUUAUUCUGCAACGUUGAUCCGGCAAGCGACAAUUAGACUUAAUUAACUCGCAAAGAAAUCUUUCGACGAAAAACCUAACUUUUGUCGUCACGUGAUUGACACGGAUAAUGUUUUAGCGUAGCCAGGUUUAGUUUAUCCGCGCGUAUUCGCGAUUUACGCGAUUGCGGAUAGAAAAAAAAAAACAAAAGAAAGCGCCCGAGGCACGGAUAAUCCGGCAUUACAGUUUCGUAUUCUUUCUUGUUGCGCAAACAUACUUUAUUGUUAGUCUAUUGGGCCUUUGGUAGUAAGCCAGAAAAUUGGUGUUGUUUCAAAAUGUUAAUCCGAUUCUGGCUGAUAAGAAUGGUAUAAUUCAACCACUAUCUGACUCUAAACCAUUAUAGAUAGGGAGGUGCUUUGACAAAGAAAGCGAAUUGCCUUAAAAAUAACUUUCCAUAAAGUAUAUCCUAGAGCAUAUCUUGUUGCGUGACAGCAUUCGAUUUCUUCACUUUCUUUCUUCACCUUUACUUUCUUAUUUUUUUCUUCCUUUUUUUCUGCCAUUGACGGUCUAAACAGUAACAUUGAAAGUUGAACUGGCCGAGUAUAGAGUUACAUCGGCUCUUGUUACGAGUGUAUGCGGUGUCCCAUCGGGAAACCCUACAUGGUUGCCGGAACCCCCUCAAGUACCUCACUAGUGUCCAACGGUAAUCGUUAGAAUCGCAUUUGUCAGCAGUUCUCGCACAUGCUGGCACACCAAACUUCAAUUUUUUCCUUUCGAAUUAAAUUAUCUUCUAAUCCUUUCUUUUGAUUAUUUAUAAAAAUUUCAUAAUAUAUUACUUUAUAAAAAAAAACCUUAUUAAAAGUUCUCCAACAAUUCCUUACACCAAAAUCCUCUGUAUUGAAAGAGGGUCAAAAUAAUCGAGUCCACAAACUUUCUCAAUUCGAUUUAGGUCUGUUUUGCACCAUUAAAAGAAUAAAUAGAUCCCAACGGUCCAUAAGUUAUGGCGGAGUCAGACGUUUAAAGAAUUUAUACGAUAAUUUAAGGGUAUAAAUAACGAGUACGUCCUGGCAGCAGCGUGUACCAAAAUUACAAAUUGAGAUCCCGGAUUUUCGUACGAGCAGGGCACGGGCCGUGGUCUAAAAUAUUUAAAACCGGCCAAAGAACGAGGAUUAGUGAUUAGUCCAUCAACGGAGUAAUAGCUUCAAAAAACACUUUCUCUAAGGAUGUACAAAUUGUCGGAAUUACAUUAAAAGAAAAUACGAUGCUCCUCGGCAAAGGAAGCUGCCAGAAUGGACGAUGAUUUAGUAGAUGAAGAAGAUGAUUUGUGAGUAGCCAACGGCUAAAUCUCCGCCAUUCCGCGAUAACGAUCUUCAACGUGAUGGCGUAGUUGUGGUCAGGUGGGUGGAAACGUAAAAGAAAGAAAGAAAGGAAAGAACUGCCUUCCUCGUAUCUUAGGAUGGUAUCUGAUUAGAAUCAAUAAAUCAACUGGUCGAGUUUGUGUGAGAUUUCCAACCUUGGUGUUCAUUACGACAAGAGAGCCGCGAAAACAAGACGAGACGUUUACGACUUACUGUAAGAAGGAACAAACCACUCCACCCCUGGUGAUGUCGUAAAGUGUUGUCGCUGCUACUGGAAUUGUAAAACCGCAGGCCUUGUUAGGGUUAAAGUCAUUUAUCAAAGGGUCGUACCCAUAAACGACAACAAAACUAAGUUAAUGAAGCCACCUGACUAUCUCACCUGUACAUUUCGGUGGAAGCGGCAAAGUCCUUCCGUCGUGUCUGGAAGCGAUGACAUGUCUAAACAGAGCCAGUCGAUGCCAUAAAGUCGAAAUCUUUUAAUGUUCUUUCAGUCCUUUAAGCGCAUUACUGUUAAUCAAGCGAUUUGCUGCAUCAAAACGCGACCCAGUCAUAUCUUGGCAAACAACAGUCUUGCAAAGGAUUAUCUACGGGAUCCACAGAAAUAUCGUUAAAAAUGUUUGACCAUGUAGAGACUCCAACCACUUUAAUCGCUUUAUUUUGACUAUCGCGGCCAUAUCAAUUUUUACAAGACCGGAAACGCCAAAGUUUCGUUCGUCUGUGCAUCUGUCCGUUUAUAUGAAUCGAUAAUUUGUUUCUAAAUUUGGAUCGUUAAGAAAUUCGUGGCAAAAAGAAUAGAGGAAAAAAAAAUCUUUGGCCUUCUGGGAGUCGAUUCCUUUAAUUUUUACUUAAUAUUCUCAGAGGUAAUGGCAGAUCGGAGGGAGUAUUUUAUACUUUUUCAAAAUAAAAAUUAAAGAAGAAAA
rnacentral:lncRNA from 1 species